CAGCAGCCGCGGGAAUACGAAGGGUGCAAGCGUUAAUCGGAAUUACUGGACGUAAAGCGUGCGUAGGCGGUGAGUUAAGUCUGCUGUGAAAUCCCCGGGCUCAACCUGGGAAUGGCAGUGGAUACUGGCUCGCUAGAGUGUGUCAGAGGAUGGUGGAACUCCCGGUGUAGCGGUGAAAUGCGUAGAGAUCGGGAGGAACAUCAGUGGCGAAGGCGGCCAUCUGGGACAACACUGACGCUGAGGCACGAAAGCGUGGGGAGCAAACAGGAUUAGAUACCCGCGUAGUCCCUGUCUCUUAAAA
rnacentral:rRNA from 1 species